AAGUCUGGUGCCAGCAGCCGCGGUAACUUCAGCUCCAAUAGCGUAUAUUAACAUUGUUGCAUUUAAAAAGCUCGUAGUUGAAUUUAUUUUUAUAAAUUUUAUAUAAGUAAUAUUAUUUUAUAAUAAAAUUAUUUAAAUUUAUUUUUUAUAAUUUUAUUAUAUAUUAAACGGUAAUAUUAUUUACAAUUUAUAAAAAAAUUUUAUGUUAUAUUAUUUAGUAAUAGAUAAUAUAAUAUAAAUAUUACUGUGAAAAANUUAGAGUGUUUAAAGCAUGUAUAUAAAAUUAAAAAAUAUAUUUUCUGAAUAUAUUUUUUUAGCUUGAAUAUAUUAGCAUGGAAUAAUAAUAUUAUAAUAUUUUUAUAUUAUUUUGUUGGUUAAAUAUAAAAAUAUAUGAUUAAUAGAGACAAUUGGGGGUAUUUAUAUUUCAUAGUCAGAGGUGAAAUUCUGGGAUUUAUGAAAGAUAAACAAAUGCGAAAGCAUUUACCAAAAAUGUUUUCAUUAAUCAAGAACGAAAGUUAGGGGAUCAAAGAGGCUUAGAUACCCUCGUAG
rnacentral:rRNA from 1 species